CUGUGAGCCACAAGGGUUUGUUUGGAGCUGGAGUUCAAUCGCUUGGUUCGUCUCUCGGCCUCUCCCAUGGCCAACUGAUCGCCAUGGCUGGUUUGACCAGCUGGUCCUAAGCCAUGGAUUGAUGCAUAUGGAUGCACGCAGCCAUGCAGGGGAUGGUGUAUGUGCUAGUGGUGAUGUAAGAUCCCUGUACGGUAGAAUAUUGGUUAGGAAUAGGAUUGUAGAAUUCUAUGCCAAAAUCGCAGAUUUUAGGAACUAUGGUAGCGUGGGCCCUGAAGUAUUGCUUGUUACUGGCGCACCAUCCCAAUCAAAGAGGAGAAUCUCAGUAAUCAGAGCAGCCAGCCUCCGAAGCAAAGCAAGGCAAAGUUGCCUCCUAGCGAGCCACCACUUCAGAUAGGCCUAGAGGACUUCUACAGCCUACAAAUAUGCUUCAUCAAACACCUACGUAGGACCUGCAUUCAAGCAGGCUGUUUGGAACAAGAGAAUUUUGUUUCGACGUUUUUCUUGUGAAAUUGAACUGAUUCCUCUGAAAUUCAUUUGAAAAUCCUGUUAAAUUCCUGCGUUGAUCUUAUGGCUUCUGGGAAUGCGUAUGCUACACAAGUACCGAACAUAGCCAAUGUUCGGUUUUGU
rnacentral:lncRNA from 1 species